CUACGUAGGGAGCGAGCGUUGUCCGGAAUUACUGGGCGUAAAGGGCGCGUAGGCGGCGCUUCAAGUCGUCUGUCAAAUGGGAGGGCUUAACCCUUUUUCGCAGACGAAACUGGAGAGCUUGAGAAGCAGAGAGGCAAACAGAAUUCCUGGUGUAGCGGUGAAAUGCGUAGAUAUCAGGAAGAAUACCAGUGGCGAAGGCGGUUUGCUGGCUGCAUACUGACGCUGAAGCGCGAAAGCCAGGGGAGCGAACGGGAUUAGAUACCCCGGUAGUCCUGGCAGUAAACGAUGUAUGCUGGGUGUGAGACUAGCGAUAGUUUCGUGCCGAAGUUAACGCGAUAAGCAUACCGCCUGGGGAGUACGGUCGCAAGAUUGAAACUCAAAUGAAUUGACGGGG
rnacentral:rRNA from 1 species